rnacentral:rRNA from 1 species
UACGGAGGGUGCAAGCGUUAAUCAGAAUCACUGGGCGUAAAGCGCACGUAGGCGGCUUGGUAAGUCACAUGUGAAAGCCCUCGGCUCAACCGGGGAACUGCGUGUGAUACUGCCUUGCUUGAGUCCUGGAGAGGGUGGCGGAAUUCCCGGUGUAGGAGUGAAAUCCGUAGAUAUCGGGAGGAACACCAGUGGCGAAGGCGGCCACCUGGACAGGUACUGACGCUGAGGUGCGAAAGUGUGGGGAGCAAACAGG